UACGUAGGCAGCAAGCGUUGUUCGGAGUUACUGGGCGUAAAGGGGGUGUAGGCGGUUGUUUAAGUUUGGUGUGAAAUCUCCCGGCUCAACUGGGAGGGUGCGCCGAAUACUGAAUGACUAGAGUGUGGGAGAGGUGAGUGGAAUUCCUGGUGUAGCGGUGAAAUGCGUAGAUAUCAGGAGGAACACCGGUGGUGUAGACGGCUCACUGGACCAUAACUGACGCUGAGACACGAAAGCGUGGGUAGCAAACAGG
rnacentral:rRNA from 1 species